AAGGCUAUACUUUCAGGGAUCAUUUCUAUAGUUUGUUCCUAGAAAUAUCUUAAGGAUUUAACUUAUUAAACACUAAAU
rnacentral:snoRNA from 1 species